rnacentral:rRNA from 1 species
CCGAGCGCAGCGAGUCAGUGAGCGAGGAAGCGGCCGCAUAACUUCGUAUAGCAUACAUUAUACGAAGUUAUCAGUCGACGGUACCGGACAUAUGCCCGGGAAUUCGGCCAUUACGGCCGGGGCGGUAAGACAUAUGAUGCAAGCGUUAUCCGGAAUGAUUGGGCGUAAAGCGUCUGUAGGUUGUUUAAAAAGUCAACUGUCAAAAACUAAAGCUCAACUUUAGGCAGGCAGUUGAAACUUUUAGACUAGAGUAUGGCAGAGGUAGAGGGAAUUACUGGUGUAACGGUGAAAUGUGCAGAUAUCAGUAAGAACACCAAUGGCGAAAGCACUCUACUGGACCAAAACUGACACUCAGAGACGAAAGCUAGGGGAGCGAAUAGGAUUAGAUACCCUAGUAGUCCUAGCUGUAAACGAUGGAAACUAAAUAUUGCGUUUUUAAAAUGCAGUAUUGUAGCUAACGCGUUAAGUUUCCCGCCUGGGGAGUAUGCUCGCAAGAGUGAAACUCAAAGAAAUUGACGGGGGCCCGCACAAGCGGUGGAGCAUGUGGUUUAAUUCGAUGCAACGCGAAGAACCUUACCGGGGUUUGACAUACUAUGCAUUUUUUGGAGACGAAAAAGUUUAAACAUAGAUACAGGUGGUGCAUGGCUGUCGUCAACUCGUGUCGUGAGACGUAGAGUUAAGUCCUGUAACGAGCGCAACCCUUAUUGUUAGUUGCUUUUAGGAAACUAGCAAGACUGCCAGUGAUAAGCUGGAGGAAGGUGAGGAUGACGUCAAGUCAGCAUGCCCCUUAAAUCCCGGGCUACACACGUGCUACAAUGGUUAAGACAAAGAGAUGCUAACUUGUGAAAGUACAGCGAACCUCAAAAACUUAAUCUC